UCCGGCUUAGCUCAGUCGGUAGAGCGCGGCACUGUUAAUGCCUAGGUCGCUGGUUCGAGUCCAGCAGCCGGAGCCA
rnacentral:tRNA from 1 species